rnacentral:rRNA from 1 species
UACAGAGGUGGCAAGCGUUGUUCGGAAUUACUGGGCGUAAAGGGCGCGUAGGCGGCCGCCUAAGUCAGACGUGAAAUCCCCCGGCUCAACCUGGGAACUGCGUCUGAUACUGGGCGGCUUGAGUUCGGGAGAGGGAUGCGGAAUUCCAGGUGUAGCGGUGAAAUGCGUAGAUAUCUGGAGGAACACCGGUGGCGAAGGCGGCAUCCUGGACCGAUACUGACGCUGAGGCGCGAAAGCCAGGGGAGCAAACGGG